ACGUGGGCUGCACAGAACCGGCAAAUCUAAUCCCCUCGGGUGGCAGCACUUCUCAACCUCUCCGUGCAAUUUCCGAGCCUUCGCUAGCAUCAAUCGGUGUGAUAGAGAUCCGCUGCUGCUGUUUCUUCAAACAAUUGGUUCUUCUGUGAUUAGAACCGUCAGCCUCUUCCGGCCACUCGCUCCCGUCUGCGAGGAGGGGGCGGCGGCCGCCGCGGCGGAGAGUCGCCCUGAGGCAGCAGCGGGUUUCUGCCGUUCGUUUUGGCCGUGUAGAGACAUAUUACAAUGAUUGGAGGUGUUAUGCUGUUUAACAUCAAGGUGGAACCACUUGUAGCUGGCGGAACAGACCCAAAGAGUGUUGAUCCAGUAGGAUAAGUUGUGUUGAGGACGGAUGAGCUUGUGCUGUCAAUGCAGGACAUUUACCUUGUUGAUGGAUACUGACAUGUUGAAGUACCUGUGAGAGUAAACAGUGAGAUUGCCCAGAAAUUAGAUGUUAUAUCAACAACUGUCAUAACGUACUGCAUGGUUUGAGAAGAGUUUGGUUCUUGAUGCUGGUGAGCGCAACUCUGUCAACCCGAUUGUGUGAAGGCUUCUCAAGCUUGAUAAUGGUGGCAAUGAAGUAGUAGCUUGUUCAACCAACAUAGAGAUGGGUCAAAAUGCAGAGAGUUUGUACUAACCAGAGGAGAAUAGAAGGCCCAACAGGAAGAUGAAACACGAGACGACAUUUACAGACAUAUCUCCAAUGGCUUCCCUCAACCUCUCUUUGUCUUCUCUUCUGUUGUUGCUCUGUUUCAGAUGCUCGAGGAGAGUGAUGCUUCUAGAGAGAACAGAGAAGUCUACUUAAGCAGUAAAAAGGACUUAAUUUACUUCAUCUAACGGUAUAUAUGACAGGACAGAAUCAGAGUUUCCUUCACGGUGUAAUGGAGAAUAAGAGGAAGCUUGUGAAAGAAGGAUGGGAGGUUUGGAGGUGCACGCAAGAUAGGGUGGUAUUAAAGAGCAGAAAGGAGAAGUUUGCAGGGGAAAGCAGCAGUGGAAGAGGAUGAUGGUGUGGAAUGAAGAAUCCUUGUGUGGGCUGGCUAAUGAUGGUGAUAAUGAUGAUGAAACAAGGGGUGGUGGUUGAGGUGGGAACCUCUCCUUUAUGCUACACUUUUACUGUUCCAUGAGAUUAAAUCAUAUGGGAAAGCCUGGGAUCAAGCAAGAGCUUGCCAGUGGCAGUAAAUCUGUCUUAAGAUCAUCUUUUGCUUCUUGCAGCCUGGGAGCAAGAGCUUGCCAGUGGCAGUGGCUCAAAGAACCCAGAUUAUUCGACUCCACUCUUCUUCCAUAAGCCUAGUCAACCUGGAACUAGAGUGCUGGCAUGAAUUUUGAGAUCGGACCCUGUGAUAUUGAUCAAACUGAUGCACCGAGGAUCGAAAUCAAGAUUGUCAUCCUUUACACUAUGCUAGAAAUUGUUCCUCCUCGACAACACCCCCUCCUACGCGUGCACUCUAGCCUGCUAUCCUUCUCCGACGCUCUAUGUUCAUGUCGGCCGUGCUAGGAAUUUGUUCGUUGAAAUGCCGAAGAAGGAUGAUUGUCUCUUGAAGUACCAUUAUUGCAGACUACGUGCAGGUAAGAAACAGUGCUAGAAAUUGUUCGAUGAAAUGCCGAACACUAUGCAUAGAGGUUUUGCUGUUCAUGGAAGAUCUGAUGAUGCAGUUAAGCUCCAUGGGACAAGACAGUAGCAUCACUCGAGAGAGUAACGAUUGUGUCCUUGCUUCGUGCCAGUAGCCAUUGGAAGAUUGGUGGACCACGGGAAAUAUUUCGCUCAGUUCGAUGUGGAACAUCUAUGGCACUGAUUCAGAAAUUGAUCAACAUGCAUGAUUGACAGAUCUUGUCGUCUGGGAUGUUGAAAGAGGAAGAGGAGAUGAUCAUCGUGUCCUUGCUUGAUAAAUCUUGGUGCACAGAUUGUUGCUUGUCGGACACAUGGAGAGAGAUGGGAGAAAAGGAUUUAGAAGAUCAUCAAUGAGUUGGAGCCUGCACGUAAGUUCUCCUGGCAAAUAUUCUGGAUCUAGGAGAUGGGAUGAUGCAAAGCAUGUCUGAAAGAGCAUCGUAAUUGGCGGCGCAAGAAUUGGAUGCUGCUCCUCAGAAUACCUCGAUGGUAUUCUCAAGGGAGAUCAAUCACAUCUUUGUAUGAGAUGUCUAUUGACUUGAGCUUGCUAUGCCCAGAAGGUUGUAGAAGUGCUACUUGAAUUCUGUGAAGAGGACAAGGAGAGUUGUGCAUCGUUGUGUAAUAACUACAGGAGCAAACAACAGCAUCUUUACAUGAUUCUAGUUGAUGAAGGUUUUUGAAAAGGUAGCUUAUUGUAUAUGUUAAACCUACCUCCUCCUUCCCAGCAGCAACCAGCCACCUUUGUGGUGGAGAAAUAGUUUCUUCUGGUGGCAGCAACCAAAGGGAAGUGUAUUGUGCAGACUUAGUGACAAUCUACAGAGGAAUGUUGUAUGUUCAAAGUUGUCAGUUGCUCCCUACUUAUGGUCUGUGUGCAAGCUUAGCAAAUGGACAAAUCCACCAGAGGACAACUUCUGACUGCACUAUCGCUGAGAGCUCCUCGUAGAGUCUCCGAGGUGGGGUGGGCCUUGCAGACCCGGUGAAGAAGGAAGCCACCAC